rnacentral:lncRNA from 1 species
GCUGAUCACUUGUUAUACUUGCAGAGGGGUAUGAUUUAAUCUUUACGGUUAUCUGAUACACCUGGGUAUAUCAAAGUAUAACUUUGAUAGUUACUCGAGAAGAGAAGUUCAAGAUCCAAUGGAUCGCUCAGUGUAAAUCUGGAAAAUAUUCCACUUUGAUAUUUUGUAGAAUUGAUUCUUGAUUAUUCAUUAGAAUAUCGUAGAAACUUUGAAAGCGUUGUACUCUUUCAAUAUUGAAUUAUUAUGUUGUAUAGAAUACGAGAAGACUUGUUAUUGAAUAACAAUUUGUUCAGCUAUUUCAAAGUUCCCCGAACUUUGGUUUCAUUCUAUCAAAAUAGAUAGUCUGGUGAUUUGAAU